rnacentral:rRNA from 1 species
AGCUAACGCGUGAAGGCGAGCACUCUAGACGAACUGCCGUUGCAAAACGGAGGAAGGUGGGGAUGACGUCAAAUCAUCAUGCCCCUUAUGUUCUGGGCUACACACGUGCUACAAUGGCCGGUACAGACGGACGCAAAGCCGCGAGGUGGAGCAAAUCCUAAAAAAGCCGGUCUCAGUUCGGAUUGCAGGCUGCAAUUCGCCUGCAUGAAGUCGGAAUCGCUAGUAAUCGCAGGUCAGCAUACUGCGGUCGAAUACGUUCCCGGGCCUU